AGACAGAAGGGGAGCCGGAGUGAAGUGUACUGUGUACCAUGCACUUUCUGUGGAUAUAAUGAGCAAGAGAAAUAAGCCAUCUCUGCAUGCAGGAGUUUCAGCUUAACUGGAAAACUAAACAAGAAACUACAGUCAACAUGCUAUCAUGGGGAAGGACAGGAGUCUCUUUCCGGAGAGGUUUGUCCAGAAUUUCCCAACAUUGGCUGUACAGCAGAACGAACUGAGAGCUUUAAAAAAUGCCACUGCCUUUAGUACCACUGCAGACCAACUAAUCAGAACUCUUUUUU
rnacentral:lncRNA from 1 species